rnacentral:rRNA from 1 species
GGGAGCCUACGGGAGGCAGCAGUGGGGAAUAUUGCACAAUGGGGGAAACCCUGAUGCAGCGACGCCGCGUGAGUGAAGAAGUAUUUCGGUAUGUAAAGCUCUAUCAGCAGGGAAGAGAAUGACGGUACCUGAGUAAGAAGCCCCGGCUAACUACGUGCCAGCAGCCGCGGUAAUACGUAGGGGGCAAGCGUUAUCCGGAUUUACUGGGUGUAAAGGGAGCGUAGACGGCGAAGAAAGUCUGAAGUGAAAGCCCGCGGCUCAACCGCGGAACUGCUUUGGAAACUUUUUUG